GAUGAACGCUGGCGGCGUGCCUAAUACAUGCAAGUCGAGCGACGCGGGCACGGGUGAGAGAAACGUGGAUAACCUCCUAUAAGAAUGGGAUAACUUCCGGAAAACGGUGCUAAACCGGCAUAUGUUCGCAGAAGCCACGCUGCAUUAGCUAGUUGGAAAGGUAACGGCUUACCAAGGCAACGAUGGCUAGCCGACCUGAGAGGGUGAUCGGCCACACUGGAACUGAGACACGGUCCAGACUCCUACGGGAGGCAGCAGUGGGGAAUCUUCCGCAAUGGGCGAAAGCCUGACGGAGCAACGCCGCGUGAGUGAUGAAGGCCUUCGGAUCGUAAAGCUCUGUUAUUAGGGAAGCGUUACCUAAUCAGAAAGCAACGGCUAACUCCGUGCCAGCAGCCGCGGUAAUAC
rnacentral:rRNA from 1 species